rnacentral:rRNA from 1 species
UGGGGAAUAUUGGACAAUGGGCGCAAGCCUGAUCCAGCAAUGCCGCGUGUGUGAAGAAGGCCUUCGGGUUGUAAAGCACUUUUAUCAGGAGCGAAACGCUGUCGGCUAAUACCCGGCGGAACUGACGGUACCUGAGGAAUAAGCACCGGCUAACUUCGUGCCAGCAGCCGCGGUAAUACGAAGGGUGCAAGCGUUAAUCGGAAUUACUGGGCGUAAAGCGUGCGUAGGCGGUUUCUUAAGUCUGCUGUGAAAUCCCCGGGCUCAACCUGGGAAUGGCAGUGGAUACUGGGAGGCUAGAGUGUGUCAGAGGGUGGUGGAAUUCCCGGUGUAGCGGUGAAAUGCGUAGAGAUCGGGAGGAACAUCAGUGGCGAAGGCGGCCACCUGGGACGACACUGACGCUGAGGCACGAAAGCGUGGGGAGCAAACAGGAUUAGAUACCCUGGUAGUCCACGCCCUAAACGAUGCGAACUGGAUGUUGGUCUCAACUCGGAGAUCAGUGUCGAAGCUAACGCGUUAAGUUCGCCGCCUGGGGAGUACGGUCGCAAGACUGAAACUCAAAUGAAUUGACGGGGUCAUAGCUGUUUCCUG